UUAUUUUCAUUAAUUGUUGAUUGACGGGCGUUGUUUGAUGUGCAGGUAUCUUCGAAAUCGUGAUGAUUGACAUUGCAAAUGCUAUCGUAACAGGAGUCAUAUGGAAGAAAUUGAUAAUUUUCUUUUGUUUCUUUUGAAUUAUGCUGUUAAAAUUAUUUGAUUUGCAUGUCCCAUGAGGGUGCCACGGUUGCUGCUGAUUGGUGCGACAAUCGAUAUUGGUUUUUUUUCGAGCUUUGAGAUGAUGAUAUAAUAAAUUCAAGCGAAGGUAUGUAAUUUUUUUUUUAUUGGGAGUUUUUUUUUAUUUUGUGUAUUGCAUUUGUUGAUGGUGAAUCUGUUGAUUUUGUUGGUUGAAGGGCCCUAAUCGACUUAAAUUUUUUGAUACUCUUAAUAAAGCUUACGAGAAUUAUAGGUUAAUUAAGGUACAUAUCCACUCCACUACUUUUUAAUUCGCUGAUCACGGUUAAUCCAAUUUUAAGUUUCUUUGAAGUCUCAUUCAGAGUCUUUUAAAUUACUCUAGCUUGGAAGUCUAAGUUUGGUGAUUAUAUCCGGUGUGGUUCCAAAGACUGUUAUUCGGGUAAGUAAAUCUGCUAAUUUAGAAUUUAGGAUAGAUAUAUUGAUAAAUGAAGGCCUGAAUUUCUUAUGUGUUUGCCUCGCUCAAACCCUACUUCAUCAUCCUCUUCCGAAAUUCGAGAUUCUGAAACAGAAAUUCCGUGUUUCAAACCCUACUUCAUUAUAACACCCUAUGUGUGUUUAGUUUCUCCUUCUACGUGUUUCUCUAAUUCUAUUCGAAUCUCUUUAUUAAGAAAUCGAAAGUCUGGAAUUCGAAUUGGUAUACUAUCUCUUUCAGACGUAGAUCUAAUUUGGGUUUUGCGCAUAUGGAUAGUUACAAAAGAUUGAUUUUGAUUUUGUGUAACUCGGUUUCAAAGGUUUGUGAAGAUUUGGAGUUUCUGCUGCCAUAGAGAAGAAGAUGUACAGAGAGAACUUGAUUUACCAGCUCGGGGUGAUUUUUUUUAUUGUGCUCGAGGAUUGCUUGGGCGGGGGGAAGAACGAAUCGAAAGAGAUGCACAUGUUAAGAAGAUAAUGUUGCUGCCAUAGUAUUUAUUCGCAUUUCCAUUGUAUUUCAGUAGUUAAUAAUUUUAUUCGCACUUACACCAUUCUCACUGGACCCAAGUACCUGAUUGGAGAUUAACUUUGGAGAUACCACAUCGGCAUUACUUUGAUGUUCAUGCUCAUGAAAUGAAAAUGUGAAGAAAGAAAAUGCUCACGGAUGGCAUGGCAGAAGCGCCGUGUUUGAAAUAAAAUGAAGUGGCAAGCUCCAAAUACAUGUUAAGAUCCUCCAGAGACAAAAAAAAAAAUGCAAGGCUUGAGCGUAGUAAUCAUUUUCAAGGAAAAAACUUUUGGACAAGCUGGACACAUGUGAACUGAAUGUUCAUCUCAGAGAACCAUGCUGUGGUUGUGCCUCACAACCAUGGUUGAUGGAAGCUAAAUAUCACAACUCAAUGAGGUGAUCUUGAUUGGAAAAAUGGGGUUUAUGAACGUGCUAACCAACAAGUUGCGCAAUUAUUUCGUAAUUCCCACCCUGCCCAAAC